rnacentral:lncRNA from 1 species
GCCAAAUUUUUCCCAGCAAGUUGCAAGAAGAAGCUGCAGUCCAAUAUAGAAUAAGUCAAUUGCUUUCUGUAAGAAGAAACUUUGAAUUUUUCUUAUAUAAACAAUAAUUUCAUCAUCUUAUUUUCUUUACUUCACCUGAAAAGCAAAAGAAAAAUUCUCAUCAGAGCAAAAAUUCUGGUAUUGUUAUUUUCUUACCUUUAUAUUUUGGGUUUGAGUAUCUUUUGUAUUUUCCGUAAAAAAACAACAGAAGUUCUGGCUAAUCCGUGGUGGACAGGACAUCAGGUAGGAUUACCUGGGGUGGUGGAUCAUCCCCACCACCCGUCAGGUAAUCCACCUGGUUUUAUGAACAAACGUCCCCACACCGAACUUUUCAUCAACGAAACCAAAAGAAGAGAAGAAGAAGAAGAAGACGAUGAAGAAAGAGACGACGAUG